rnacentral:rRNA from 1 species
GACGAACGCUGGCGGCGUGCUUAACACAUGCAAGUCGAACGAAGAGCGAUGGAAGCUUGCUUCUAUCAAUCUUAGUGGCGAACGGGUGAGUAACGCGUAAUCAACCUGCCCUUCAGUGGGGGACAACAGUUGGAAACGACUGCUAAUACCGCAUACGAUCUAAUCUCGGCAUCGAGGAUAGAUGAAAGGUGGCCUCUAUGUAUAAGCUAUCACUGAAGGAGGGGAUUGCGUCUGAUUAGCUAGUUGGAGGGGUAACGGCCCACCAAGGCGAUGAUCAGUAGCCGGUCUGAGAGGAUGAACGGCCACAUUGGGACUGAGACACGGCCCAGACUCCUACGGGAGGCAGCAGUGGGGAAUCUUCCGCAAUGGACGAAAGUCUGACGGAGCAACGCCGCGUGAGUGAUGACGGCCUUCGGGUUGUAAAGCUCUGUUAAUCGGGACGAAAGGCCUUCUUGCGAAUAGUGAGAAGGAUUGACGUACCGGAAUAGAAAGCC